rnacentral:rRNA from 1 species
UGCCAGCAGCCGCGGUAAUACGGAGGGUGCAAGCGUUAAUCGGAUUCAUUGGGCGUAAAGGGCGUCUAGGCGGGAAUGAAAGUCAGACGUGAAAGCCCGGGGCUCAACCCCGGAACUGCAUUUGAAACUUCAUUUCUUGAGGAUGGACGGAGAAGACGGAAUUCCACGUGUAGCGGUGAAAUGCGUAGAUAUGUGGAAGAACACCUGUGGCGAAAGCGGUCUUCUAGUUUAUUCCUGACGCUAAAGCGCGAAAGCAAGGGGAGCGAACAGGAUUAGAUA